rnacentral:rRNA from 1 species
UACGUAGGGGGCGAGCGUUGUCCGGAUUUAUUGGGCGUAAAGAGCUCGUAGGCGGUUUGGUAAGUUGGAUGUGAAAUCUCCAGGCUCAACUUGGAGGGGUCAUUCGAUACUGCCAUGACUAGAGUUCGGUAGGGGAGUGUGGAAUUCCUGGUGGAGCGGUGAAAUGCGCAGAUAUCAGGAGGAACACCCGUAGCGAAGGCGGCACUCUGGGCCGGAACUGACGCUUAGGAGCGAAAGCGUGGGGAGCGAACAGG